rnacentral:misc_RNA from 1 species
GAUGAAGAACGUAGUGAAAUGCGAUAAGUAGUGUGAAUUGCAGAAUUCAGUGAAUCAUCGAAUCUUUGAACGCACAUUGCGCCCCCUGGCAUUCCGGGGGGCAUGCCUGUCCGAGCGUCAUUUCUGCCCUCAAGCACGGCUUGUGUGUUGGGUGUGGUCCCCCCGGGGACCUGCCCGAAAGGCAGCGGCGACGUCCGUCUGGUCCUCGAGCGUAUGGGGCUCUGUCACUCGCUCGGGAAGGACCUGCGGGGGUUGGUCACCACUAUAUUUUACCACGGUUGACCUCGGAUCAGGUAGGAGUUACCCGCUGAACUUAAGCAUAUCAAUAAGCGGAGGA